AACAGGGAGGGUCAGGGGUGGCUGUGGCUGCUCAGGGAUGGCUUUGGCCUGAGUCCCUGGAAGGAGCCACUGCCCAAGCGGCUGCGCUGUCCCCGGGCUCUGCUCCCGGCCUUCUGGGCUCUGUUGGGUGGCACAGCCUGUGCCAAGGGGCAGCAAGGUGCCUGCAGGCCCCAGCUCAGGGGGAAACAGAGAACGUCCUGGCCGUAUCCAGCGUGCUGCCAGCUCAGCAGCAGAGCACAGCACGGGGUCACACUGCCCAUUGCUCCCACAGAUGGAGCCAGCACCACAACUCAUGUUCCUGAUUCCCAGAAGGUCAUUGAAAGGGCCUUCUGUCAGGGAACACGCUGCUAACUAGAGAUAAUGGCCAUGGUGGGAGGUGGAGAGCUUGUCUUCAUGUUGUGCUGCUUUGGAAUCUGGUAUGCCUGCAAGAGAAAACAGAGCACUUCUGGACAGCAUUUGAAGGACAGUGGCUGCACUAAA